rnacentral:rRNA from 1 species
AUUGAACGCUGGCGGGAGGCCUUACACAUGCAAGUCGAACGAGUGGCGGACGGGUGAGUAAUGUCUGGGAAACUGCCUGAUGGCGGGGGAUAACUACUGGAAACGGUAGCUAAUACCGCAUACCAUCAGAUGGGCCCAUAUGGGAUUAGCUAGUUGGUGGGGUAACGGCUCACCAAGGCGACGAUCCCUAGCUGGUCUGAGAGGAUGACCAGCCACACUGGAACUGAGACACGGCCCAGACUCCUACGGGAGGCAGCAGUGGGGAAUAUUGGACAAUGGGCGAAAGCCUGAUGCAGCCAUGCCGCGUGUAUGAAGAAGGCCUUCGGGUUGUAAAGUACUUUUAGCGGGGAGGCGUUACCCGCAGAAGAAGCACCGGCUAACUCCGUGCCAGCAGCCGCGGUAAUUC